UCUCGAAGGUUCUGGAGAGGACUGCAUUUGCGAUCCUCUCUAGAACCUUCCGAGA
rnacentral:pre_miRNA from 1 species